rnacentral:rRNA from 1 species
AGUGAACGCUGGCGGUAGGCCUAACACAUGCAAGUCGAACGGCAGCACAGUAAGAGCUUGCUCUUACGGGUGGCGAGUGGCGGACGGGUGAGGAAUACAUCGGAAUCUACUUUUUCGUGGGGGAUAACGUAGGGAAACUUACGCUAAUACCGCAUACGACCUACGGGUGAAAGCAGGGGAUCUUCGGACCUUGCGCGAUUGAAUGAGCCGAUGUCGGAUUAGCUAGUUGGCGGGGUAAAGGCCCACCAAGGCGACGAUCCGUAGCUGGUCUGAGAGGAUGAUCAGCCACACUGGAACUGAGACACGGUCCAGACUCCUAAGGGAGGCAGCAGUGGGGAAUAUUGGACAAUGGGCGCAAGCCUGAUCCAGCCAUACCGCGUGGGUGAAGAAGGCCUUCGGGUUGUAAAGCCCUUUUGUUGGGAAAGAAAAGCAGCAGGUUAAUACCCCGCUGUUCUGACGGUACCCAAAGAAUAAGCACCGGCCAACUUCGUG